GCCAGCUGAUCAGCCAUGCCGCGUGUGUGAAGAAGGCUUAUGGUUGUAAAGCACUUUAAGCGAGGAGGAGGCUACUUUAGUUAAUACCUAGAGAUAGUGGACGUACUCGCAGAAUAAGCACCGGCUAACUCUGUGCCAGCAGCCGCGGUAAUACAGAGGGUGCAAGCGUUAAUCGGAUUUACUGGGCGUAAAGCGCGCGUAGGCGGCUAAUUAAGUCAAAUGUGAAAUCCCCGAGCUUAACUUGGGAAUUGCAUUCGAUACUGGUUAGCUAGAGUGUGGGAGAGGAUGGUAGAAUUCCAGGUGUAGCGGUGAAAUGCGUAGAGAUCUGGAGGAAUACCGAUGGCGAAGGCAGCCAUCUGGCCUAACACUGACGCUGAGGUGCGAAAGCAUGGGGAGCAAACAGGAUUAGAUACCCUGGUAGUCCAUGCCGUAAACGAUGUCUACUAGCC
rnacentral:rRNA from 1 species